rnacentral:rRNA from 1 species
UACGUAGGUGGCAAGCGUUGUCCGGAUUUAUUGGGCGUAAAGAGCUCGUAGGUGGCUCGGUAAGUCGGGUGUGAAAUUUCGAGGCUCAACCUCGAGACGCCACCUGAUACUGCUGUGGCUAGAGUCCGGUAGGGGAGCGUGGAAUUCCUGGUGUAGCGGUGAAAUGCGCAGAUAUCAGGAGGAACACCAGCGGCGAAGGCGGCGCUCUGGGCCGGUACUGACACUGAGGAGCGAAAGCAUGGGGAUCAAACAGG